GCAGAAUCAGUUCUAUAAUGUCUAUUGAUUAGAUUAUGAGUUGAUUAAUCUGUUUGGGGACCCCAAGCUAUUUGACCCUAUUAGACCUUAUUUGACCCCUAAAGACAUUUUAACUGAAGCAAUGACGCUUGAUUUUGACAGAAGUUCCACAUUUAAAGAAAAACAUAAGUGUCUACUACUUUUUGUUGUUUUUUUUAAAGGGGGGAAACAUGCAAGUAAAACAGAUUAUCUUCAGAUAUGGGAAGCUGUACUCUACUAUUCUUAACUCCCAAAAGUUUGGUAUCUUAAAGGUGCUCUAUUGGAUUGACGUCUGAUGACAGUUCAAGAAACCAGGCGAAACCAGUACUGGCAACAAGAAGAUAUUUUCCCCCAGAGAACUACCGCUCAUAUUUUCUCUUUUUUGGACCAUUCUCUGUAAAUCCCAGAAGAUCAGCAGUUUGUAAAAUACUCACACCAGUCUGGGACCAAAAACCAUGCCACGUUUUAACUCACCUAAAUUACCUUACUUCCCCAUUUAAAUGCUCAGUGUUAACUUCAGCAAGUUGCCUUAAUCAUGUCUACGUGUCUAAAUGCACUGAAUUUCUGCCAUGUGAUUGGCUGAAUCGAUAUUUGCAAUGAAUGUGUGUACCUAAGAAAGUUUACUUUCCUUUUUAUAGAGAACCAAUAAUUCCAGAUACUGUUGUAUGGUUCAUAAGAAACCCUCCUUCAAAAUUUUUAAUGAUUUUAACCAAAGAUCGAAUAAAGAACUGCAGAUUAAGAGAUUUACUGAGAUAUUGGGUUUAAAAGAAGCUGCCCAGAUGGGACAUCUCAUGAUUUUGUCAAUAGUGGUUCAGGUAACAGAUGCAUGUUAGCACUUUUUGCAAAUACACAGCAACCGUAUCACGCAUUUGAUAUGAAUGAAAGUCCAAUAUUGACUCUUUAAAAAUCUGUUUGCUAAUGUUUGGCUUUGUUGACCUGUUAGUUGCCAUCUUUAGCUACAGUCUGUUGCUGAGCAGGUAGCGUGGUCCGCUCAUCGGAGCUUUUUUAUCCAGAAAUUAUUGUCUGAUGAAACUAAAGGUGAGAUAAAGGACAGCAAAUCAAAUGUUUAGAGUCUUCAUGUAAAUCUGAGUCAAUGAGCUGAAAGACAGCUAGAAAAAGAACUGCAGUGGAGGUGGUUGCUUUGGCUUGCAGAUCAUCCAGUGUGAUAUACACAGAAUAUAUAAAACCAGUUUACAAGCGACUUACAGCUCCUCCCUUGUUGACAAGAGCUACCACAGCAGUUAGCUCUGCAUGUUUGAUUUGGCAAAGUUUUUACUUCAGUGCCCUUCCUGAUGCAACCCCAAAGUGCUUCUGAUCCAUCUCCUCGCAGAAUCAAACCAGGGAUCUUUUGCUUGUCUAUCAGAGUAAACCACUAGAUUGUGGAGCCACCAGAAUCCAUAAAGCCUUUCCAGUGGUUUAUUUAUUAUAGUUAACUAUGGUGGGGUGGAUGGAUUGAUAGUUUGGAUGAUUAGCGGAUCAAAAUCAUGCAUAUAAGUCAUGCAUCUGACUGUUGAAAGGAUUUUU